rnacentral:lncRNA from 1 species
AGCACUAGAUCUUGCAACAGAGAAAGUGCAAAGUGAUGUGGGCUUUUAAGACUAAUAACCUUUCUCAUGUCCUCUGUCUCUUUCUCCCCAGCUAGAGGAAAAGCCCUAAGAGAUCCUAGCCUGGAGAAUCAUGGAGCCAUGUCGUUAGGAGUUUGAGAUCAUUAUCACAGGAAAAAGAGAACAGCGAGGAGAAAAGGAUAAUAGAGGAAAAGAGCAGAAAGAAGCCAUUUAUAUCUGACUGCUGCUGUGGGAGUUACAGAAUCUCCUUCUUCAACUUGGGCCCUUUGCAGAUUCAGGCUGCCCCUGCUGAAUUUUAGAGAGCGUCAAAACUUAUUGGUUAAAGGGAUGCCUUUAUGAGUAAAACAUGAGAAAUAUUCACUUACUAGGUAAGCAAUUUGUAAGGACUGGAAGUAGAAAUUAAGCAACCAAGACAAGAAGGCUGUCCUAUCAGUUUCAAGAACAACUAAGAGGAUGUUAAAGGACAGCAGAGGGAGCCCCUGCAUGACUUAAGAAAACCGAAGGCAGGCAGAACAGAGACUUUUCAGGGUGCGAAGUUACGCAUGGUGCCCUCUACUGGAGUCACUGGUAAAGAGUUUUGAUUUCAAAAAGAAAUUGACGUAGAAUUUGUUCUUGUUCCAUUGUAUUGGUGAAGAAACUGAAGUUCAAAGUAAUUGGCAGAACAUACUACUUUGGGCAGUAUGGGAGUAGAGGCCUAUGGACGACCAGCAACAGGCUAGGGAUAAGAGUGGAGAUCUGAAUACAAGAAACUAGUAUUCAGGAUACGGGUCCUGGUUGUGAUUCUCUCCUAAUCCUUCGUGUGACUGGAGUUAUGUCGUGUGACUCUCAUAAACAAUGGGUUUUCCUUCUUUGUACGUAAUAGUUGGCAGAAGUGGUUACGUCCUUGCCACAAGGAAAAAGUCUCAUGAGAUGAUUAAUCUAAAACUUAUUUUAGAAAUAUAAAGGACUUUAUGAAUUCAAGGCAGUAUAUUAAGAAAAUAUCCCCUCAAACAAUGAACCAAUGAGACUGGCAAAGAUCUUGAUUUUCCUGAUUUUCAUUUAGAUUCUUAACAUUUGAGUCCAUUGAUAUAUUCGAAGCUCUACCCUUCUGGAAAAUAUCA